GAAGAUCAUCUAAUCGUUCAGAGAAAAGGAUUGGCCGUUGUUGAUUGUUCUUGGGCAUGUUUACAUGAGGCCCUUUCGUGAAACUCCGUUGUGGUGCCCGCGCCUCUUGCCAUGGUUGGUAGCAGCAAACCCUGUGAAUUAUGGCCACCCAUGUCAGCUGUCCCAUGUGGAAGCUUUACCAGCAGUCCUCAUAAUAUGUGCAACAUACCAUCCAUCAUUUGAAUUUGUAGUUCAAGGUAGUCGGGAGAAAGAUACAGGAGAACU